rnacentral:rRNA from 1 species
GGAUCCAGACUUUGAUUAUGGCUCAGGAUGAACGCUAGCUACAGGCUUAACACAUGCAAGUCGAGGGGAAACGACAUUGGAAGCUUGCUUCCUUUGGGCGUCGACCGGCGCACGGGUGAGUAACGCGUAUCCAACCUUCCCGCAAGUAAGGGAUAACCCGUAGAAAUGCGGCCUAAUACCUUAUGUUUUCCUUAGAGGGCAUCUGAUGAGGAACAAAGAUCCGUCGCUUGCGGAUGGGGAUGCGUCUGAUUAGUUAGUCGGCGGGGUAACGGCCCACCGAGACGACGAUCAGUAGGGGUUCUGAGAGGAAAGUCCCCCACAUUGGAACUGAGACACGGUCCAAACUCCUACGGGAGGCAGCAGUGAGGAAUAUUGGUCAAUGGGCGGAAGCCUGAACCAGCCAAGUAGCGUGCAGGACGACGGCCCUAUGGGUUGUAAACUGCUUUUAUGCGGGGAUAAAGUGGGCCACGUGUGGCCUUUUGCAGGUACCGCAUGAAUAAGGACCGGCUAAUUCCGUGCCAGCAGCCGCGGUAAUACGGAAGGUCCGGGCGUUAUCCGGAUUUAUUGGGUUUAAAGGGAGCGCAGGCCGCCGGGCAAGCGUGUUGUGAAAUGCAGUCGCUCAACGUCUGCACUGCAGCGCGAACUGCCCAGCUUGAGUGCGCGCAACGUUGGCGGAAUUCGCCGUGUAGCGGUGAAAUGCUUAGAUAUGGCGAAGAACUCCGAUUGCGAAGGCAGCUGACGGGUGCGUAACUGACGCUCAUGCUCGAAAGUGCGGGUAUCGAACAGGAUUAGAUACCCUGGUAGUCCGCACGGUAAACGAUGGAUGCCCGCUAUUCGGCCCAUGCGGUUGAGUGGCCAAGCGAAAGCGUUAAGCAUCCCACCUGGAGAGUACGCCGGCAACGGUGCAACUCAAAUGAAUUGACGG